rnacentral:rRNA from 1 species
AACGCGAAGAACCUUACCAGGGCUUGACAUGUGCGGAACCCUGCCGAAAGGCGGGGGUGCCACCCUUGGGGUGGAACCGCAACACAGGUGGUGCAUGGUUGUCGUCAGCUCGUGUCGUGAGAUGUUGGGUUAAGUCCCGCAACGAGCGCAACCCUUGACCUUAGUUGCCAGCAUUCAGUUGGGCACUCUAAGGUGACUGCCGGUGACAAACCGGAGGAAGGUGGGGAUGACGUCAAAUCAUCAUGCCCCUUAUGACCUGGGCUACACACGUGCUACAAUGGACGGUACAAAGGGCUGCGAAACCGCGAGGUGGAGCCAAUCCCAGAAAACCGUCCUCAGUUCGGAUUGCAGGCUGCAACUCGCCUGCAUGAAGCCGGAAUCGCUAGUAAUCGCGGUUCAGCAUGCCGCGGUGAAUACGUUCCCGGGCCUUGUACACAC